GGAUGUGCUUGGUGAUUCUGGGGGAGGAGGGGAGCUAAUAAAGGUUAAAAGAGGCUAAUAAACCUUUACAGAAAGAAAUCCUUGGAUGCCCCUGGCUGUCAGUCCCAGGGCAUGCUUCCCUUGAUCUCUGUGUUGUCAAUUCGAGCCCCACCUUGGGCGUAGAGAUUACUUAAAAAUAAAAUCUUAAAAAAAAAAAAAAAAAUCUUGGAUUAGGGUUGUCCCCAUUUCAGGAGUGAUACCUGAUGUGGAAGUGGGGUGGGGGGGUGGGGGUCAGAGCGGAUGACCAAGAAAGAAUUCUUGAGACGUCUUUGGUGCAAAAAGGUGGUUUUAUUAAAGCCCAGGACAGGACCCUUGGGCAGAAAGAGCUGCACUGGCGCUGUGAGGGGUGACUGAUGAUAUACUUUCAAGUUGAGAGGCGGUUAGGGACAGCGUAAGCCUCCAAGGUAUUUUGGAAGCUAGGUUUCCAGGACCCUGAGGGGGCUGGCUGUUGUUAGGAAAACGUCAUUUAUUACUGGUCAGUAAAACCUCAGUCACGGAUGCUUCAGAUGUAUAUCAGUGGGCCAUAUGCUUGGAGCAUGAUUGCCAACAUGUAUCUUGAGGGGUAGAGAUAAAGAUUCCAAAGGAAUUUUUAUAUUAAAUUAGAUCUACAGGAUCCUAGAGGGGCGGGACAAUGUUAAGCUAAGACUGACUUUUGCCCUUAGCAAAGUGUCAACAUGGAGGCAGUUGAGUUUCCAGAGGUCACUCUGUCUCAAGGAAUUGUCAAAGUGGUAAGGAAAUGUAAUUUUUUCUUUUGCCUUUGUUUCCUACACCAAUACACAGGUGCAGCCUUUACCUUUUACCCCAGAGAGGAAGUGAUGUGUUCCAGGUCACACACUUUGGAAAUUUCACAUUUGGGAACUUGAACUGUGUCUCUUGUCUUUUCAUGGAGGCAGCAUGGACUUUAAAGUCAAAUUGGCUUCAAACUCGGAAUCCACUGCUUCCUAGUGCUUUGCGAGAGCAUGCGCCAAAGAACAAAGGAGGGAAUGAAAGUCUCUGCGUCGCCUCAGGAAAUGUACAUAUGUUCCAAACAGACUACUUUUUGCCUUACGUGGGCAUAGGCGAAGUCUGGGUAAGGCUGUAACCUCCAUUGUACUCUGCCAAUGAGGAAUCAGGAGGGACUUGCACGCUAGGAAACAAAUUGUUUGCUGUAACUACACCAGAUGUGCCCGUCCAUCGCACACCUGCUCUUGCAAGAAUGUUGAUUAAAUCCUCGCUUCACUGUG